CCACUUUCCUUCCUGCCACCGGCUCUUCGUAUCACCACAGGAUCUGAAUGGUUAACGUGGAGAAUUUUUCUAAGAAACCCUUGGAAUCAUUAGUUUGAUAAUACCGACCUUUCAUUCUUUCCCCCUUGGGAAAAAUUUCUACUUUUUUAUCUCUGUUAUUGUUUUCCUCCAUCGAAGAAACAUCAAUUUUUCUUCCAUUUGCCUCACUAUAUUUACCAUUAUCAUAGGGACCAUGUUCAUAUGGUCUCUUUUACAUUCCGUUGUCUUCAUUCAGGUAAGUAUCAUUUUCCCUUUUAUUGAUUAGAAUUUAUCUAAAAAAAGUUAUUAAAAUUUUAAAACUAUUUGGUAUUACUAUGUUUUUAAAGAACACGUAAAUACUGGUGGUUAGAUUACAUAACCACGAUUUUCAGGUAAUUAGAAUACAAUAUCAUAAUAAUACAUCACAUGCAUCCUUACAUGGCAUGCAUUAUACUUAUGAUACUAGAUCAAUGAUUGGAUUAUUAAACAUAAGACAACCAUAUUUAUAUUUGGACAAUCAUUUUGUAACAACUUUCUCUCUUAUAAUUAUGAAUAUCCACUUUUUUAAUUUGUAAACUUAUGGUGCAUCAAAAGUUGUCACACAAAUGUUAUUCAAAUAAUAUACCAUAGUCACAUAAUUUGUUGGGUUGAGUGGUGAACAACAAAUUGGUUUGCGCGAACUGAUUCACGGAUCUUUCGCAUAUUGGUUCCUGCAAAUUUGUGAAGGAAUUCGCAGAAACAAGCGAACCAAGAGAAUCUGCAAAAACGACUAUCGUAAGAGUGAGGCGGAGCAUUGUGAGUAGAGGAAUUUUGUCUGUGAGUGAAGAAAUGCCGAGGCGGCAGACACAGUUUCACGUUUUUGAGGAAGAAGAUGAUGAAAAUGAAUCAAAGAAACUCGAUUGGAUAAGGAGCCGGUUGUUUCUCUAAGUGAAAGGAGGAAGAUGACGAUGAGAUGAAAUUAGGGUUUCUUGCUAAACUAUUUUUAUAUUGGGUUUGGGUUAGCUUGUUGGACUAUAUUAAUAUUGGGUUUUGACUUGGGUUGAUAAAGUGAAAACACGCUUUGCUCACUCUCAACUGCACUUCUGAAAAUGCCCUCAACAUGACUUAAGUCAUGCAUGUGUUAAACAUAACGUGACUUAGGUCACACUCAAAUACAACCCGCGUUGUUGAACCCAGCGUAAAGUCACGUUGCGUGUCCUUUUAAAGAUCAGACAUCAACUCAUUUUUUCAUUUCCUCUUUCACAUCUAAAAUCUCCAAAAUCUCUCCCUAAUCAACCAAAUCCAAAAUUCUUUCAAGUUAAAAUCAAACAAUACUCCAGUAACAACUAAGUUUUCAUAAUCAAACAACAUUAACCUUUUAUAUUUAUAUGUUAGAUUUUUCCUCUUAAAUUAGAAAUUGUUUAGUUUAAGGGUUUGUUUAAUUUUUUUUUUUUUUUUUUGGCAAGAAAUGAUACAAUGUUUACAUGUAAAUGACUUAAAUUGCUUAAUUAUUUAGAUGUUUGCAUGUAUGUUGUAGUUGUGAGUUUUAGGGUUUACGUAUAAUUUUCCCUCCAAGUGUUUGAUGAAAUGUUUGAAUGAGUUUUUCAUUGAUUGUUUAAUUUCUUAUGGUGUAGAUCUGAAACAAUGGAUAAUUUGUUCAGUGCUUAAGUACGCUUCAACGGUGGAAACUCUCAUAUUUGAUGACUCAUCCUAUAUGAAGGGAUUCGAUGUGAAAACAUAUAUAGUUGAUUAUGUAGAAUACAUUUGUUGUUCUCUUCAUUCUUUUGAGUUUUCAAAGGAUGUUGCAAAUAUCUACACUAAGUAUAAGACACUUCAAUACUAACUUUUUCCGUAAACUUUCAACAAUUUAAUUUAAAUCCAACAUCAUGAUGACACAAUAUAUUUAGGGGAAAUGUAAUGUAACGUAGAUGA
rnacentral:lncRNA from 1 species